rnacentral:misc_RNA from 1 species
UCUCCGUAGGUGAACCUGCGGAGGGAUCAUUACAGAGUUCAUGCCCUACCGGGUAGAUCUCCCACCCUAUGUUAUUAUUACUUUGUUGCUUUUGCUGGCCGUUAGGCUCCGGCCCGACUACCGGCCCCGGCUGGUAAGCCCCCGCCAGAGGACCCCAAACCCUGAAUAUUAGUGUCGUCUGAGUACUAUAUACUAGUUAAAACUUUCAACAACGGAUCUCUUGGUUCUG